rnacentral:rRNA from 1 species
GGAGGAAAAGAAACUAACAAGGAUUCCCCCUAGUAACGGCGAGCGAAGCGGGAAGAGCUCAAAUUUGAAAGCUGGCACCUCCGGUGUCCGCGUUGUAAUCUCGAGACGUGUUUUCCGUGCGGCUCUAUGGACAAGUCCCUUGGAAUAGGGCAUCGUAGAGGGUGAGAAUCCCGUACUUGCCAUGGAAGAACCGUGCUUUGCGAUACACGCUCUAAGAGUCGAGUUGUUUGGGAUUGCAGCUCAAAAUGGGUGGUAGACUCCAUCUAAAGCUAAAUAUCGGGGAGAGACCGAUAGCGAACAAGUACCGUGAGGGAAAGAUGAAAAGCACUUUGGAAAGAGAGUUAAAAGUACGUGAAAUUGUCGAAAGGGAAGCACUUGAAGUCAGCCAUGCUGCUUGAGACUCAGCCUGGCCUUUGGGCUUGGUGUAUUUCUCGGUGGCAAGCCAGCAUUGGUUUGGGUCGUCGGAGAAGCGCAUAGGGAAUGUAGCGUUUCCGGACGUGUUAUAGCCUUAUGCAGGAUACGACGACCUGGAUCAAGGAACGCAGUGUGCCCUCUGGGCGGGUCUUCGGACACCUUCACACUUAGGAUGCUGGCGUAAUGGCUUUAAGUGGCCCGUCUUGAAACACGGACC